CUGAGUUAUAGCUUUUAUUCAAGGUCCAAAUGGCGUCUAACGACUAUUCUCCACCGUCUUCCCAGGGUUAUGGGUCCUAUGGUGGAGGUAGAGGUGGAGG